GCCCGUGGCCAUACCACCCUGAAUGUGUCCUCUCUCAUCUGAUUUCCAAGGCUAAGCAGGGCUGGGCUUGGCUGUACUUGGAGGUGAGAAGUAGCAAAGAAGAAAGUUAACCCUGUAGACA
rnacentral:rRNA from 1 species